ACGUAGGGAGAAAGCGUUAUCAGGAUUUAUUGGGUGUAAAGGGUGCGUAGGCGGGAAGGCAAGUUGAAUGUGAAAUACCGGGGCUCAACUCCGGGGCUGCGUUCAAAACUGAUUUUCUUGAGUACAGCAGAGGCAAGCGGAAUUCGCAGUGUAGGGGUAAGAUGCGUAGAUAUUGCUAGGAGGACCGGUGGCGAAGGCGGCUUGCGGGGCUUCAGCUGACGCUGAUGCACGGAAGUGUGGUGAUCAAACAG
rnacentral:rRNA from 1 species